GGCAGCUCAGAAGGCGCUCCAACACAAAUAGAGCAGAUACCAGCGAGUCCUGGAAACGCAGCAGUUUCUUUAUUGGGCUGCACAAGGUAGGGGGUAACAGGGGAACGGGGCAACUUCAGUAUUUGUUAGGAAGUCCUGCGGGCCUGAAGCGGUUGGGAUCGCCGCCUCUCCUGCCCCACUCGUUGGCCUCCUGGUCGAGCCGGGUGUCCUCCGCGCCUCUGCCGCUCACCCUGCUCUGCCAGCCCUCCCGGGCAUCGCUGCAAGGAGAGGCCGCCUGAACCGCCGGCACCCCGCCGGCACCCCGCUCCCAGCCGCGGUCCUGCUCUGUGCCGGCCCUCUCCCUCCCGUAACACUAUUGCUUCUGCAGUGCUGCCUCCCCUCCCCUCCAUUCCCCUCCUGGAUCCAAAGCUUCGUACGUCUCAAGAAGGAUUUCACCCCGACUGGAACACCUGGGCCCCUAGUAACUCCGUGUUAACAAGAUGGCUGCCGUGCCGUUACCUGAUCACUUUGGCUGCCCAAGCACCUCCAGGUCCUCUCCGAGCAGCAUCGUAAUUGCCACGAGCAUGGAAAUACUUGUCAGCACCAAUGUAGUUUGCCUCACGCAUGUCCCGGUAUGCUCUCCACAUAUCCCGUGCGCCUGAAGAGAGCAGACAGGUGACGUUCACUUUGAUGUCCCAUUCCAGCAGCAGCCAAGCACCAUUUCAGACAGAAGCCCAUGGCUGCUACUGGGCCAGAAAGCCUCAUGUGUCCCCAGGGCUCCCCAUGUGUCCCCAGGGCUCCACGGAGAAACCUCUCUUAUCAACCCCUACUGAAGUAGGGCAGGUUAGCAAAGCGGAAGAAAAGGGGCUCCUUGAGGAGAACUUCGUGGAGCCAUGGAGGCUUUGCUUGGCUCUGAUGCCUCAAGGGCUGGAGGAGUUGUCUCAAAGCAAGCUGGCAGUGACACUUUAGACCCAUAGUGUGCACUAGAGAAGGUACCAGCUUCAUUCUGAGACUUUAGCAGUAGAAGGUUUGUGCAACCAGUUUGUCCACAAAAAGCUCUCCAUGAGCACGUGCCUAUCCUGCAAUCCCUGUGCCUGGUUUGGCCGCAGGGUUGCCCCCAAGCUUGAGCCCAGGCCUGCCAUAUUCUUUGUGCUGCGCUUGGCAAGACCCAAGGAACACAGAGGCACUUGUCCAAAUGGGCCUUUCAAUGGGAGUCGCCAGCUGAAAGGGCCUGUGGAGGCUGAUCGAGGUCCUCUCCUAGCAGCAGAGACCAACAGGGUCCCUAAUGUGGAGCCGCAGGACCUCCUUGACUGGAGGACUGCAUGUGGCCCGUGCUCAGGGAUUGGGUCCUGAGAGAAAGACCAGUGGUGAUGGAAUAACUUACCUCCAGCUGCAUCCCUGACAAACUUGAUACCGCUGGAGAAUGGGUUGUCUGCACUUGCAUACAGAACAAUGGAGAGCAACACGAAGCAGAUACAGAGCCUCAUGGUUCCCUGCCCAAGCCUGACACGGAGCUGUAAGAAAAUAAGAGAGAUUAGCAGUUGUAGAGCACCUCUUAGAGAUUUCUGACCUAGCAUUCAUUGCACCCACAGCUGUGCCCAGGCAGCUGCAGGAACACUCAUGCAGCCACCCCAGAGCUUAUGGCCUGCCCAAGAGCUCAGCAUAAGACUCCUCGACAAAGGCAGACACACAGGAGAAAUUUGCAUUUGAGCAUUCUUUGCUGCUUCUUCCAUGAGAACAGAGAAGUCCCACAUGCUAAAACAUCAGUCCUCUUCCCAAAUAACAAAAACAGUGCAUGCAUCACAUAAAUUCAGAGCAUCACUCACCACUGCAGAAAGGCAAAGCCUGGAGGUCAGGUGGAAGUGAAGCCCAUCUCAUGAGCUUUCAGAGAGGGUAUUUAUAAGCGAUUUAAACCCCAGAAAAGAGGAAAUUGAAAAGGAUACCCAGGGCUGGGAAUUUCCCAGUACCACCCCACUUUCAACAUAGAAUUACAAUAAGCUUGCCCUUGUCCUGGCUGAAAGUUCAUGAAUCCUGUUACACAAUUUUUUGUAAAGUAUACAGUGCUUUGUUUUCCACAGGAAAUUUGCUCCCCAUAGCAAGCAGAUUGAGAAACUUCCACAAAGAUUGAAGUGUUUGAGAUGUUGUGGUUGACUUCAGUUUUUUGGCUCUUGUGCUAGAAUGAGCUCAGAGGAGAAACUGCCUGAUCAUCUGCCUUCAUCUUGAGUGGCUGCUGAGUGAGCUCCCCAUCCUUAUCUCAACCCAGGAGCUGUUUUCACAGUUUCUUCCAUCUUUCUGAGGAUGCAGAACAAGGGAGCAGCACAAUGGACCUUAGCUAGCCAAUGCAUGAAACCACAACAGGGAACGGUCAUCUACACUACCAGAAAUGCUGCAGGAACUGCUAGGUGUUGGGGUAGCAAGAUGGAUCCCAAAGAUGGCAGAACUUAACUCCACUGCAUACACCUAUAUCCUAACUGGCAACACUUUAAGACAGUGCACACUCAUGCCACCACCGGGAAGGCUUAAAUGGUUCAUUCUUCCUUUGCUUGCUCCCACAGACUCCUCUUAAGGGGCAUUAAGCCAUUCUGCUUCCACAGUGGUUCAGUGGAGUCCCAGUGGGCUAAAGGAAGGAGAGUAAUGCAGUAGCAAAUGUUUUAAUAAAAGGGAAAUUCAAAUCCAUAUGGCCAAAUCUCUGUUAAAUUUUAAGAUCAGCAUAUUGACAAUCAAGCCCUGCUGGUGUGGCUCACAGCUUCAGUACCCAAUAUCCUCCUCUUGCGUUUGCACCAGGUCAAAGAGUGCUUGGCGCCUGCUUGCCUUGUUCAACAACCAACAUGAUUCCUCUGCAGAAGGCUCUGGACAGAGCAUGCAGAAUGCCUCCCUUUACACGGUCUCAUACACAGUUUAACAGCUACAGAGUUUCUUUAAAUGCUGUGCAGAACAAGUAUGCGUAGUUGUCCCAUUCACAAUUCUGUCGCUUAGUAAGUGGCUGGAGCUGAAGUGCUGGGGCAUGAGGUAAAAGAAGUGCAUUAGCAAACUGGGCUAAUAAAAUACCAGCAACUGUCUUCUCUUCCUUUGGACAUCUCUGACUCCAGCAAAAAACUUAAGAGAGCAAGAGCCACUUUCCAGAGACAGGCCUGGAGCAGAAGGACAGAUAACCUCUGAAUAGAACAACUUAAGAUGAGAAGAAUCUAUAUCCCAACGCGACAGAAAGGAAAACUUUGCAAAAGCCAUGAGACAGACAAAAUCUUGCCUGUGCCAUCCAUGAACCUCAUACUUAACAUACACCUUAGCUACCGUAGGGACUGGAGUGUUGUGUUAUUACAAUUCAUUUACAUUCUACGGAUGAUUUAAAUCCCUUUCAGCACCUAUCAGCCCAAGUUCCUUCUCUGCUGGCUGCAAGUGGCCCAGCCUGUCUCCUCUUCAGUUUUAAUUUAAAUUAAGUCACAACUGGAAGAGGAUUCUUUUGAACUUGGAUUGAACUCAGCAAAACAUAAGUCAUUGUGUCCAGGGACCUGGAAGGUGCCCAUAGAACUGACUUAAGGAACUUUCUGGAACACAGAAGGCGUUUCUGGGUUUUCAGACCUGGUCUGAUAUUUCACAGUCUCAUCAAACCACUGUUCUCUGCAAAUAGCACAAACAUGAGGAUAACUGCAACAAGACAGGCACUGGCGUGGACCGUGAAUUGCUUAUUCUUGACUCUGCCUGGAAAGCACUGCUUUCCCAACUCCUCUGGGCCUGCUUUCCCAGUCACACCCUUGGCCCAUAGAAGCAAAAGCUGCAGCCAAGAACUGCUACCUUUACACAAAGACGUGAGCAAGCUGCCACUGAGAGUGAAGAAGGAUGGAAUGCUCCUGCCUGGAUACUAGGAACAUCUAACCUAAUAAGGGCCCCUCCAAGACUCUCUUCUGACUUUGGAUGAUCUGAUACAGUUAAGAUAAAAGCACAAUUUGGAACUUCUACCCCUGAAACUGGCCUUUGAUUUUAAAUAUCUGUAAAUGCAGUAAUUUUGCAAUCGAGGUAUUUUGCAAUCUAAGUCAAUAAGCUUUUGACUGGAAAAUGGAAGGUAAAAUCCCAGCCCAGACCCAGCAGUAAAUACUGUUUUUCUAUAUUCUGGGAAGUAAGAAGACUUUCUCUUCACUUACCCAAACAAAAAUACACCUUUUUAUUUUUUUUCUUUUUCCUUUUCCUCUUGUAAUGCUGCUCUGUGCAAUGUUUGCUAACAUUGGUGUCAGGCUUGCAGAAUGAUUGCAAUCUUCCUAGUUUCGUAAGAUACAGACUGCACAUAUAAAUGCUUAUCUUAAAUAGAAUCAUCAAAAACCUACUGGUAAAUGAAUUUUAACAGUGAA